rnacentral:rRNA from 1 species
UGGGGAAUUUUGGACAAUGGGGGAAACCCUGAUCCAGCCAUCCCGCGUGUGCGAUGAAGGCCUUCGGGUUGUAAAGCACUUUUGGCAGGAAAGAAACGUCGCGGGUUAAUACCCCGCGAAACUGACGGUACCUGCAGAAUAAGCACCGGCUAACUACGUGCCAGCAGCCGCGGUAAUACGUAGGGUGCAAGCGUUAAUCGGAAUUACUGGGCGUAAAGCGUGCGCAGGCGGUUCGGAAAGAAAGAUGUGAAAUCCCAGAGCUUAACUUUGGAACUGCAUUUUUAACUACCGGGCUAGAGUGUGUCAGAGGGAGGUGGAAUUCCGCGUGUAGCAGUGAAAUGCGUAGAUAUGCGGAGGAACACCGAUGGCGAAGGCAGCCUCCUGGGAUAACACUGACGCUCAUGCACGAAAGCGUGGGGAGCAAACAGGAUUAGAUACCCUGGUAGUCCACGCCCUAAACGAUGUCAACUAGCUGUUGGGGCCUUCGGGCCUUGGUAGCGCAGCUAACGCGUGAAGUUGACCGCCUGGGGAGUACGGUCGCAAGAUUAAAACUCAAAGGAAUUGG